rnacentral:rRNA from 1 species
UCGCCCGCCGCGCGCGGCGGGCGGGGCGGGGGCACGGGGGGCCUACGGGAGGCAGCAGUGGGGAAUAUUGGACAAUGGGCGCAAGCCUGAUCCAGCCAUGCCGCGUGAGUGAUGAAGGCCCUAGGGUUGUAAAGCUCUUCACCGGUGAAGAUAAUGACGGUAACCGAGAGAGCCCCAUCCCC